rnacentral:lncRNA from 1 species
UUUUCUUCCUGCACGCAAUGCUAACACAGAAAUCCCUGGCCUGGAACAAAAUGCCUCUCCCAGGCCAAUGCAGCCUACCUACCUUACAGGUGGCACAGGCCUGGGCAACCCGCCCCCCACCCCCAUCCCUUCCAGCGCACAGAAACCCUGCAAAAGUUUGAAAACGCAGGUUCCAAGAGGCCCCCGUAGCCCGAGGUCAGCUCGGUGGUCCGGCUCCAGCUGUGCCCGGCGACAGCCAAGAUGGCCCUGAGCGGGGCCCACUGCGGCGGCGGGGCCGAGGGGCGCCGGCCGGGGCCGCUGUCUUCGCCGCCUACCUGAGCGGCGUCAGGGACCAGGGGGCAGGCCCGACGCCCCUCCCGCUCCGCCGCAGCCCCGAGCCGGCGCGUUCCCGGAAACGGGGGCCGGGCGGGCGCCAGGUAUGUGAAGGAAAGCUAAGAUAAUUCAGUGGAUUCUUCACUGGGAAAAAGGCCAGAUUCCAGUUUAUAAACGGAGGCUUGCUGUUGCCAGGCUGGAAUGCAAUGAC